AACGUAGGAGGCAAGCGUUAUCCGGAGUUACUGGGCGUAAAGCGCAUGUAGGCGGUUAUGCAAGUGGCGUGUGAAAGCUCCCGGCUAAACUGGGAGAGGACACGUCAGACUGCAUGGCUAGAGGGUGUUAGAGGGGCGCAGAAUUCGGGGUGUAGCGGUGAAAUGCGCAGAUAUCAGGAGGAACACCGGUGGCGAAGGCGGCUUGCUGGGCCUUACCUGACGCUGAGGAGCGAAAGCGUGGGGAGCGAACAGG
rnacentral:rRNA from 1 species